UACGAACGCUGGCGGCGCGCCUAACACAUGCAAGUCGAACGAGCGAGAGAGAGCUUGCUUUCUCAAGCGAGUGGCGAACGGGUGAGUAACGCGUGAGGAACCUGCCUCAAAGAGGGGGACAACACUUGGAAACAGGUGCUAAUACCGCAUAAUUUCAUCUACCGCAUGGUAGAUGGAUGAAAGGCGCUUUUGCGUCACUGAUGGAUGGACCCGCGGUGCAUUAGCUAGUUGGUGGGGUAACGGCCUACCAAGGCUGCGAUGCAUAGCCGACCUGAGAGGGUGAUCGGCCACACUGGGACUGAGACACGGCCCAG
rnacentral:rRNA from 1 species